rnacentral:lncRNA from 1 species
CAAGGGAACAAUAAAUGACUCGGUUUGGAUUCGGAGCUAAGCAGCAAGAAGGUGUUGUUCACAUUUGUUUCCAAGGUGGAGGGGUCAGGAGCGGCCUGUGGCCCCGCCCCUACGAAGGUCCCGCCCCCUACCGCGCCCCGCCCUGGGCCUGUUGGUGGGCUCUAGAAGCGGUUGUGCGUUUGGCCGCCCUCGCCUGGUUUUCCUGCCAGACACCCUCAAGGUCUCCAGGCCGCAGCUGUGUAGCGCGCUGUGCUCACCCUCCGCCAACAGAGCUGCACCCCUCCUGAGAGCAAACUGACUGCUUGUAACUCCCCCAUCCUUAUUCCUUCCCAACCAUCGCACUCCCUGGGCAUCUCCCCUUUCUGAAGCACUUUGAACAUCCUUCCAAUCCUGUGAGCCCUUGGGAGAGUUGGGCAGGCUGUGACCCAUGCAUGCCCAGGGCACCCAAGCCUGGGCCACAGAGCCGACCUCUUCCCUUUGCUGAGAAGCAGAACAAGGCCAGGUCCGGAACCGGGGCUGGACAGAUAGAAUUGCUGCCUGAUGUCAGACAGCCCUAUUGGCAUCCCAGCCCUAAGGUCCGUGCCAAAGUUUAAGUGGUUUUGGACGAAUUAUCACACCUCUCAAGGCCACGAUGUCCUCAUCUGCAAAGCAGAAACCCUAAGAUCUAUCUGAGAAGCUAGGAAGAAAUUUAGAAAUACAGUGCCCCGGUCAGCCUCCGGAACAGCUAAAAUGGGAAAAUCUGACAAUGCCAAGUGCUGGCAAGAGAGGGAGCAACUGGAAGGCUUGUACACUACUUUUGUGGAGGUGCAAAACUCACUGCCACGUGGAUAUCUGCUUUCUUAUUUGUUCUGGGUUUGGUUGGUUGUUUUUGAGGCAGAGCCUCACUACCUAGCACUGGCUAACCUUGAAUUCACCACCUAGACCAGGCUGGCCUCAAGCUCCCAGAGAUCUGCCUGCCUCUGCCCUCUGAGUGCUGCCACACCAUGCACAACCUGGAAAUCUGCUUUAAAGGAUCCAGUGCCCAGUACUUUCACACCCAAGAGGCUUACUGAACUUCUGUCUUCUGUUCGUAGCAGUGCUGUUUGGAGUAGCCUUAAGUGGAGACUGUACUGAUAACCUGUAGGUCAUUAAAGGGUUAUAUAAAUUGUGGCAUACUCACUAUUGGAUUGACACUGAAUAAUUUACAGCCACAUACAAAGUAUAUGGGUGACUCUUACCAAAGGACUUGGAGCAAAAGAAGUCAGAUAAGAGCUAGGAACCAAUCGAUCAGUCUGGAAACUUCGAGAUUCUCAGAAGUUGAAAGCCAGCUUGGGCUAUUUAGUGAGUACCAGCUUGGACUACUUCACACACACACUUGCACAAAUGAAUGAAUGAAAGAAUGAGGUGCAGAGUGUGUCAUCUCUGUGACCAUGUACUUUCCCGAGUCCUCAUCUGGAAAUGAGCGUGGUGAUGACAACUGGAGAGAUGGCUCAGCAGAUAGGACACUGCUCUUGCAGGGCUCAAGUUUGGUUCCCAGCAACCCCAUCGGGCUCCCAGUUAUCCAACCCUCCGUACCUACAGAACUGCUGAAGAUUGAGGGCAGGAUGGCCCCAAGGGAAAACUGAUGGAGGCUGUUGAGAGGUACGGAUGCCUACGUGCAUCUAGGGCACACUCCUGAGGGCCUGUCCCAUCUGCCCUUCCACAGACCCUCCUCUGACUCUUCAGGACGACUGUCCUGAUACCCUUUGAACUCUCCUGGGGGAAACGUCUGGCUUCUCUGCAGCGGGGAAAGCUUCAGAUUGAUAAGCGAUAACCUUGGACUUGUGGGUUCCCGGGAGGGGAGGGAGGUGAAGCACAUUGAAGCCCUGCGUAAAUUAGGAUGGCUCAGAUUGUACUAUGAUUAAAAUUCAAUAAAGAACUGGGUGUGGAGAUCCACGCCUGUAAUCCCGGCCCCCGGAGGCUAAAGCUGAGGCUGCAGGAUCGAGAGUAGGAGGCCAGUCUGGGCCACAGAGUGAGACUCUGUCACGAAACAGACAACUAAACAAAACAAC